AGUGGGAUAGCUGGGUCAAAAGGCAAUUUCAUUCCAAGUAUUCCAAGGAAUCUCCAUACUGCUUUCCAUAUUGGCUGCACCAUUUUGCAGUCCCACCAGCAAU
rnacentral:pre_miRNA from 1 species